GACGAACGCUGGCGGCGUGCCUAAUACAUGCAAGUCGAACGAGAGCGACCGGUGCUUGCACUGGUCAAUCUAGUGGCGAACGGGUGAGUAACACGUGGGUAACCUGCUCAUCAGAGGGGGAUAACAUCCGGAAACGGAUGCUAAAACCGCAUAGGUCUUCGAGCCGCAUGGCUUGAAGAGGAAAAGAGGCGCAAGCUUCUGCUGAUGGAUGGACCCGCGGUGCAUUAGCUAGUUGGUGAGGUAACGGCUCACCAAGGCCGUGAUGCAUAGCCGACCUGAGAGGGUGAUCGGCCACAUUGGGACUGAGACACGGCCCAAACUCCUACGGGAGGCAGCAGUAGGGAAUCUUCCGCAAUGGACGCAAGUCUGACGGAGCAACGCCGCGUGAGUGAAGAAGGUUUUCGGAUCGUAAAACUAUGUUGUUAGAGAAGAACAAGUGCUAGAGUAACUGUUAGCGCCUUGACGGUAUCUAACCAGAAAGCCACGGCUAACUACGUG
rnacentral:rRNA from 1 species